rnacentral:rRNA from 1 species
UACGGAGGAUGCGAGCGUUAUCCGGAUUUAUUGGGUUUAAAGGGUGCGUAGGCGGACGCUUAAGUCAGCGGUAAAAUUGCGGGGCUCAACCUCGCCGAGCCGUUGAAACUGGGUGCCUUGAGUGGGCGAGAAGUACGCGGAAUGCGUGGUGUAGCGGUGAAAUGCAUAGAUAUCACGCAGAACUCCGAUUGCGAAGGCAGCGUACCGGCGCCCAACUGACGCUGAAGCACGAAGGCGUGGGUAUCGAACAGG